rnacentral:rRNA from 1 species
UCAAGAGUACGUGAAACCGUUCAGGGGUAAACCUGAGAAACCCAAAAGAUCGAAUGGGGAGAUUCAGCGUCAACGAAGUCGGCUUCCGUGUGGCUCGCGAUGCCCUGUGGCUGUUGUCUUGGCACGCCGUCUGCGGUAUGACCGGCGUCGUCGGCGUGCACUUCUCCCCUAGUAGGACGUCGCGACCCGCUGGGUGUCGCCCAAGGCAGCGAACGAUUGACUGUCGCGCUCCUCGCGACAGACGUUCUAAUGCCCGGCCGACUGCUCGGCGGUAUGUUUUUUAACAAGGUAUUGAGUCGCAGCGAAUGCGUUCGACUCGUCGACAGGCUCGCCUCGCUUGGAACGGACCUGGCGCCGUUACCGGGUGCUUGGUGUGGUUUGGUCGACGAUGAUCUCGAACCGGCUCUAACGCAUUACCUGUCUGCGACGCUUUUGCUUUGGGUACUUUCAGGACCCGUCUUGAAACACGGACCAAGGAGUCUAACAUGUGCGCGAGUCAUUGGGGAACAAGCCUAAAGGCGCAAUGAAAGUGAAGACGCGGUGGUCGAGGGAGGA